rnacentral:tRNA from 1 species
UGCCCCUUAGCUCAGUUGGUUAGAGCAGCUGACUGUUAAUCAGCGAGUCCGCGGUUCGAGUCCGCGAGGGGCAGCCA